AAUACAGAGGUCUCAAGCGUUGUUCGGAUUCAUUGGGCGUAAAGGGUGCGUAGGUGGCGCCGUAAGUCAGGUGUGAAAUCUCGGGGCUCAACCCCGAAACUGCACUUGAUACUGCGGUGCUUGAGUACUGGAGAGGAGAUUGGAAUUUACGGUGUAGCAGUGAAAUGCGUAGAUAUCGUAAGGAAGACCAGUGGCGAAGGCGAAUCUCUGGACAGUUACUGACACUGAGGCACGAAGGCCAGGGGAGCAAACGG
rnacentral:rRNA from 1 species